CCAUUGGCCUGGCGCGGUACGCUGCCAGUUACCGCCUGGCAGCAACAGGGCCUGAUUGGCCCAGGCGCCCGAGGGC
rnacentral:tRNA from 1 species